GCCCUGCUCUAGGUUCUUGACAUGCAGCAUUCAUGUACCUAUGUAGAGAGACAUGCAUACGUGGAUGUAGAGGAAUGUGUGUUUUACUCAUUUUUACUGAGCACCUUCGCUACGCUCACGCCUUGCACUAAGUGCUAAAGAGCUAAGGAAAGGGUGAGACCAAUAUGUGCCCAGCUCUGGCCCUCUGGAGCCCCCCAGGAGGUAGGGAACCUUGGCCAACCUCACCCUAAGGACUACUGAAUUAUUCUUCCCCAAGCAUCAAGGAAGAAAAGCACAGCAGGGGGAAAACCCAGCAGGGAGCUUGAUCCACUGUCACCGCAGUGCUCCAGGAGGACGCUGGGACUUUGGAUUCAGAGAUGGAGUUGAGAACCCAGAAAGCCUGCAGUUUGUCAGCAACCCCUUAAAUUACAACCCUAAGCCUGAUCUGUCCUGCUGCCUGCUUUGAUGAAGAAGAAGAAGAGGAGGAAGAGGAGGAGGACAAGGAGUAGGAGGAGGACAAGGAGGAGGAGGAGAAGAAGGAAGAAGAAGGAGAAGAAAUAGAAGAAGAAAUAGAAGAAGAAGAAGAAGAAGAAGAAGAAGAAGAAGAAGAAGAAGAAGAAGAAGAAGAAGAAGAAGAAGAAAAGGCUAUUCCUACGGGGUUGGUGUGGCUAGCUUGAACUUGUAAUUGAAUACACACCAAGUCAGGGCGAGAUUAAAUGAGGAAAUGGAUUUUCUUCUGCAUGAAGGGACCGGGUCAUGUUCUAAAAAUCUGGCUCUUUCAACAUCUUCACAUAAU
rnacentral:lncRNA from 1 species